GGGCCAUAGCUCAGUGGUAGAACAUCUGCUUUGCAUGCAGAAGGUCUCAGGUUCAAUUCCCAGCAUCUCCU
rnacentral:tRNA from 1 species